CUAUUAUUACGUAUUUUUUAAACACCAGUCAUUUUCACUGCUUUUGAUAUAAAUAGCUUCGUGUUAACUAUCGGUAGUUCUACUGUUAAGGUAUCAUAGCGAUGUCCGAUGUAUAUCAAAUUUAAUCUUUUAUAGCAAGACAGAAUUAUCUUCUAAAGUUUGAUAGAACUUUGAUAUUUAUAAAGUUAUACUAUAGGAUUUGCCAGAAGCAACAUUUUAACAAAGUUAAAGUUUAUAAAGACAUUGGACGUGCGAGAAAGUAUUAUCACGGAUCAUGAAAGCGUGAUAUACAACGGAGUGUGUAAUCGCAGUUUCUUCGAGCAUCGGAACGGUAUCAAACGUGUUUUCGCGCCGUUUCGGCUUGAAGUUUCAUUGUUUCUCACUCGUUAGUUCGCCGGUUGUCGUAACAGUUCGUAACAACCUCUUGUUACGCGACCAAGUUAAAUUGAGAACGGAUAAGAAUAUGCGAACGACUGGGAUGGAGCGGGUUAUUCAAUUGAUGGAAAUCCACAGCAGGAUGCGAGUAUACGCUUUGCCAUCGAGAUCAUUUAAAAUGUGCGAGGGAAAGUCGUGCGGUACCUUCGAAGCUACUUCCAUAAAUAAAUGCCACGAUCGUAUUAAAUUGUAUUGGAUCGUUCAAGAAAUUUUAAUAAUUCAAACUGCUCUGUUAAAUCGAUACUUGAAAAAUAUUUAUCUUCGUAUACUCCAAAUCACUUUCAUGAAAUUCCGCAUAAUUCCAUCCGCUCCAGUUCAAAUUACAAAAACAUUACGACAGAAAAAUUCAGGAUGGUCCAGCACGAUUUUCCACUAUGACAAUGUUCCAAAUAUGCAUUGACGUUUACCCAUUAAUAAUCGCUUAAGCUAAGAAACAACCAAAAAUUUGACCAUCAUCUUUGUACGGUCACGUUGCGAUAAACAAAUUACCGUUUCUGCCGUCAUCUAUUGGUGUCAAUUUACGACGGUUUGUAAAUUCGACGAACGAGUUUACCGAUUAAUAAGCACCCAUCGAAAACCCAGCCCAUCUUUGUGUAACCCGAUUUCAACUGCGUCGAAGGAAAGGAAAAAUGCCAGCAAAGAAAACUCGCGAGUUCGAGUUAGUCGCGAAACGACCGAGACGUUUGUGUGGGUGGCUUUUAUUUUUCGGCUGACGCUUGUAAAUGGUUAUAGCGAGCUUUUAUACGUGUAAUGUAUACACACGGGGAUGAGCUUCAGCGCUGUCAGCGAAGUAAGAGGCUCGACGCUGCUGCCAGUUGCUCUACAAGCAGGUGGCCUAGAUAAUUCGAGUGGUAGGUCUUGUACUACUGUACUUGAGUACUGUCUGCUACCGUUUCUGUAACCGUGGUAUAAAUAUUCUGUAACCGGCCCAAAACUUUCAUCGCAACGCCUUAUUAAUUCACGAAUCAUUUCUGUUUAAGUUCGCUAGAUUUACUAUCUGCCAAUUCAUCGUUCGCUAGGAGAACGCAAGCUGUCGUAACGUCAAUUCCUAUCAGAGGCAGGUCUUCACCGCGUACCCUUAAUUAGCCCAGGGACCCACCAUAAACUUAAACUUUUAAUUUAUUAUUUUUGUGUUAUCUGUUUAUGGAUGGUCCUUGAAACAGCCCUUAGGUUGUUAUACUUCCUUACUAAUUACGGGGAAAGCAGGUAGUUGUUCCCAUGAACAAUAUUACCUACUAGCCACGUUGGUAGGAGGCUUUCUCCUCCUAUCUUCAUUUAUUAACAUAGUCUAUAACCAAUUGGCAUCGUGGAUCGUUACCCUCACUUUUCCUAACGGAAGGUGCGAACAGCGAAUCCGCGUUGUUAAUUAAAGAGGACACACCCACACCGAGCUUUCCUCCGUAAUGAGACGAGAACACCUAAGAAGAAAUAGACAAAACCCUCGAACAGUGAACCUCUCCGAUCAGUGUAAACCUGUGCUGUGCUAGAAAAUAAAGACAGUAGUUGUGUUACGACUCAGCUAUUUCAUUUCGUCAACCUACCGUUAAGUUUACGUGACACUGUCAAGGACGACAAAUCUUUACACCUAUGGUUUCAUGAAGUUAGAAGAAACGUUUAUAGAGCUAUGACAAGAUUAUAUUCUUUUGAAUUGUGGACAUUUUUGUAAAAUAUUGCGUCUGAUUUAUAUAGCGCACCAGCGAAAAAUAUUCUAUUAUUUCAAUACACCUUUUGUAUCUUCACAAAACAGUUACUUUAUCUAUUGUUAGCUUCUUAUUGUUCAAGUUAAUUUACUUAUGUUAUUCAAUAGUAUCGCGUUUACGUAACUUCGAUGCAUUUACUUCGCUGUCUCAUCCAGAACUAGUUUAGAUACAAAUUCUUCCUCAAAUUUUAUCGAUGCAAAUGAUUUAAUUUAUGUAAAUGUAGCGGCACUCGACAGUAAACUUUCCAACGGUUUCUGUCCCGUGGCUCGCUACACAAAGACUCAACGCUCCGGACAAGAUGAUUGCCAGAUGUCGAUACAUCCUUAUAGAAUAUUUGCAGCUAGACCAAGGACCCGCUAUAAAUCUUAGGAUUUGUUUAGCUGAGAUUCUCCAAUAGGGACAAAUAGUCUUUCUCUUAACAGUCCCUAAGUCUAUCACCUACUACGGAAAGAUACGAGAAAUCUGCUUUUUCUCACGUACGAUGCUUCCAGCUAGCAACUUUCUCUCAAGGGCAGUUAGCAUCCUUUUCCAACUACCAACACAAAAUUAGCCAAUUAACAACGACGUCCAUUUCCCUCACUUUCCGAACCAAGACUUUCCUCAAUGAAUCCGAUGAUCUCGCAUCCUUAGACACACUCCAUCAUAAUUUUCCUUUGCAGCAUCAUCGUGACGGAAAGUCAGUCGUUACAUAGAGUCAUUACACUACAGUCGCUACACAGGAGUCGUUAGACAAGAGACGUUACAGUCGUCAGAAUCGUUACGCAUCGGUCCGAGUCAAUAAUUGAUCCAAGUUCCUCGGCAUCUUGAGCAAUCAUCGUCCGAACUUGUAUCGCGCAUCAAAAUACAUCGACCAGUAGUCGAACUUGUAAUCGCGAAUCGCGAACCACUAAUAGUAAUCGCGAGUUCUGUACGAAGUGUAUACUAUAUCGUUGAAUAUCCUUAAGUGUUCUUUCCUAUCACUAUCACGACAUUCACCUGGGUAAGUUCACGAGAAUGGGUAAAUGAACGAAUAUAUUCUUGAUAAUGAUAAAAGAAAAGCAUUCUACGCGCAUAUAUGCAUAUGUGUCAAGCAAUUAAAAGAGUUAAAUACAAGUAUUUCAAUACAAGAUUGGAAUUCCAUCUUGUGCAAACUAAUGUACAAAUACUGUGUACUUUGGAGACAGUAAUAAAAUAGUUACUACUAUUGAUAUUCGCGAUAUUAAAUAUGCAUAGGGAUCACAAGUGAACUACAUGCUAUUUCAGUUGAUUAAAAACUUGCCCGAUUUAUGUCUAAGGACAAGUUGAUAUUUUAAGCACCGAUGGAGAGUACAGAACUGUGCACAGAUUCGACAAAGCUCUAGAAGAUUAUACGAUGGAAAAUUAUGCGUAACAGAGCUAGUAUUUAACUGAAUACGCAAUAAAUAUUUAACCAAAUUCAAUUCUAUUGUACUUUAGGUACUAAAAUAGCAUAUAGAAUAGAACACGUUUCUCGCGUAGCUCCGUAGAUACUGUGCUGGAUAAUCCGCACGGUUUAUACAGCGUGAUAUUUUAUGUAUAGAAUGUGUGUGGUAAUGGUCUUAAGUUGCUUGUAAUUUGAUACAAUGGAAGCGGAAAAGUUGACGAAACUUUUAACGUAACAACGAAGUUGAACAUACAGGUAUCAUUGUAUGCCAGGCACUCGUUCACGCCGUCAACGAACUAAUUGUAAGGAAAUUAGUCUGCUGCCAAUUACCGUACACGCUGCUGACCCAGUUACUUCAAGUGGUGUACGCAGGUACACAACUCACGUCGCACGACAUGCAUUAAAUUAGCAAACAAAAAAAGACGACAAAAAAGGAUAAAGAGAGAAAGCUUUUAUCUUUCCGUUAAAGUAAAACUACUUGGUAAUUUUGAAAAAUUACCAGACUUUUUAUUUGGAACCAUAAAACUCUGCUACGUCUUCCAUUUUUCCUUCUUCUUUCCUCCUCUCUUUACCCUGCUAUUCUUUUCCUUUUGCUUCUUUUUCUCUUUGUUCGUUCAUACUAUGAAAUAAAACAACGAAGUAAAUAAUUAUCAAUCGAACGAAACAAUCUUCACGAGGCGAUAGAAUGAUCCUUAUGAGAAUCAUCAGCUCCCUUUUCUUUCUUUCAUUUUUACUCCUUCGUUUCCUCGCACGCUCUCCUAUCUCUACUCCUUUUCUGCUCUUCUUUCACGGAAAGAUAUCCCGAUAGAUAUAAAAGAUAUAAGAAGAUACAAAAGUGAAUGAUAAUAUAAUAAAACAAUUGCUUGAACAAUGGUAGGAGAAAAUAAGAUAACGAAGUAAUCUAUCACAGAUAAUAAUAUGUAGCAUAUCAUUGUUCCACGAUAUAAUAAAAAAGAUAUUCCCAGGCGCAACAUUUCCCGCGUUAAUCAUGCGCAUCGUAUCGGGGAUAAUAUUACAGAAAAGCGGAGAGUAGAAGAGCUAGGUUUGUGGUUGCCUCGGUGAAUGCAGAUCACCGAGGCAUUUUCGUGCAUACGGUGAUCAUCGGCCCGUUAAUGGACUCGGAAAGGACAGAAAUUUGCUACGGUUAGACGAUUUCGGCGAUAACUCUGCUCAUACGAGUUUCCCGGCAAUCCUGAUAAAUCGUAAAUAGCACAUUAACAGUGAUAAAUAUCGAUAAUGUUCAACCGAUACCUCCAAACAUAUAUAUUUGUUCUAUAGAACAGAAAUUUGUAAUAAAGUUUCUAGAUCAACGAUGUACAAAUUUCUCUCUCCCUAACGUUUUUACGUAAUGACUAUAUCAUGUGCGCCGCGUUAUGCAUAAGGCGUGUUUGUCUUUCAUUGACGACCAUAAGCGAAGGAAAUUUUUGCUCACAAAUAACCGAAACACCCAAAAGUAUGCAUCGAUCUAAAACUUUAAUCUGCACCUGCUCUUUAAACUUUCCUACAGUGUCCUCGACGCUGUACAAAUUAGUCCGCUAGAAGUCAGUGUAUCUUUCAAAUAGUUUAAUCGUUGCUGAAUUAGAAGAGGAGGAUCCCUUCUAAAGGGAAAUCUCUUCGAACCGAGAAACUCGAGGAAACGUUUCGCGUCUCACGGACACCUUCGCAAACUCGUUCACGAUUUUCCUUAAGCCCCGGCAAUUUCCGGUUCUCCGACCCGAAGGCUCGAGAUUUCCGUUUUAAACCCAAACCCAACGUUCCCAAGAUUGGCGAAGCUAUAGCUGUUGUGCUGUCAUUCAUACUCGGUAUCCUUCUGAGAGAUCAGUUAAUGACAUCGUUUCUCCGGAGGAACAAUAACAAGUAAUACAGUAUGUACACGUGAGACGAGAAAAGUUGGAGAAAAUCCUAACGACGCGGAAACGGGAAGAUAUAUGUAAGAGUAAUUACUGUUCAAAUAUUACAAGCGAUUUCGUUAUAGGCAAUUAGCGGCUGGAAUUUUUGCCCGUUCAAAGAAUUCUGUAUAAUUUUGAUAAAGUAAGGUUUAAAAUUGAGUGUUGAGUGAGUUAUGAGUUUCAGUAACUUUUGUAUUAAUAACUUUAUAACAUAUUGGUAAUAGUUAACUACUCUAUGGUAUAUAUUACAUUUAUUCGUUGCUCUUGUCAGAUAAAAAUUCGUCUUGUAAAAUUAUGCUGUCUUUUUAUACUGUUCACUUUAUAAAAUUUCUUUUCUCCGCCACCGUACACCAUUGUAACCUUCCCAUUUUAGAAAAAAUUGUAUUAUGUGGUACUUUAUCUGCGCUUGCAGACUGUUGUUUUUGAACUCUUUAAUUCUGCAAGAUAAGGUAAACACAGCUACGACACAGAGCUGUGGAAUUAUUUGGAAUUUCCGAGAAGCUUACAACUUACGACUAGCGUCGGUGAUUAUUUAUGAUUCAACCCUAAUAAAUAUUAAUAACUGUGUUACGUAGCAUGACAUUUAAGAUAUCGUAGUUAUGAUUCUCCGUACAUUAUUUGAAAUCUAAAAAAGGAAUCACAAAUAUUUGUUAUGAUGACUGAAUGUUAUGAUAACUAAAAGAUUAUAUAUAUAUAUAUAUAUAUAUUUGUAUGAAAUGGUAAGUUUCCUCAUAAAAAGCGAAGGUAACCUUGUCAAUGUCAAAAAAAAGAACUAACAAAAAAGGACUGACAAAAAGUGUACGAUCAUCUGGAAAUUCUCUUUAGAGUGCGUUGUAUACUCGUAGACGCAAAAAAUGUAUGAUCGAUUCACUAAUGACAGAAUAAUCUAAACUGAUCACGUUGCGUGCCUAAGUCCAAACGAAAGUUAAGUGUUUUAUGAACACAGAACAUCAUUUCGCUAAAAUCAUUUUAUCGUAAACAGUUACGCGUGAACCAUUUGAAACAGUUUAUCUAAAAAAGCGACUAUUAUUUUACCAUCAACUCAAAAGUUAAUAAAAUACUACUUACAACAUAGGUAUAUGUAUUCUCAAUGUAUACCUAUAAUACUUUUUGCAGCUACCAUACGCACAUCACUAAUUUGCAUAUUGCAUUCGAAUCCAAGUUCUAUCGUUAUUAGAUCGCCGAUGUUUAUACGAAUUCACAUUUUUCACAACUACAUUCGCAAUUAGAAAGAAAAAGACUAAACAGAGAUCCGUAUCGUUCACUGAGCAUCACAACGACUGCUGUGCUUCUAGCUAAUAUCGUACAAUGUACACAUCUUUUUGUACGACGUACGCUCCGUGUAGUUUUAAAUUUCCCAGAAAUGCAUAGAUAUUCGCGAUCUGGUUACUAGAAAUUAGCUGAAACGUCCAAACACUUAUCAACUUCUUAGAUACGGCUGAAUUUUGUGCGGAGCUGUUUCUUUGUACGACAGAGUUCGACGCGAAUUACGUGUAAACGAUGCAGCUCUGCAAUGUGUGACGGAUAAUGCUGUUUCCUACGCAAGCACAUUGGAACGAGGUUUCUGAUAGCUAAAUUAUAAUUUUUCUUAAAGAUAUGAUGCAUAUACUUUAGCUUUAAUAAUUCCCUUUAAUAAUUAAUAAUACAAUCGAGUGUGAUAUAUUUUAAAGCACGUUACAACACAUAGACCCACGUCACAAUUUUCACACUCAUAGCGCGAUAGCGAUUUUCAAAUUGCUUUCCGUUUUCUAUUUUGAAGGGACAUUUUGAGGUUGAAGAUUCUACAAAAUUAUAAGGAUACGGAUCAGCAUGUUAAAAAGAACACCUAAUAAUGAUAUAUUUAUAUUAGCGAAAAGUACCAACUGAUACCUGACACUGGCGUAUCAGAAACAAAGGCUACAUAUUCUGUCUGUAUAUUGUUAACACUGUUAUAAAACGUUGUGAGGGCAAAAGAAGCGUGAAGCAAGACAAAUGAAAAAGAUUUAGUUCAAACGGUGAGCGAAUGAGUCAGAAGAGUGAGCCACUAUAGUGGCGCAUCGUAAUAUAACAUCGGCGAAAGCCACUAUAGUGGCGCGUCGUACCUAAGAUGCUAAACAGUAAACACAACGUAACAAAGGAUCAACGAUUCGCAUUUCGUUUCGUUGAGGAACCAUCGCGCCGUUGAAGGACCCUUCGCAAUCGUAACGCGAAAGUUGCAGAAGAAAGAGAGACGAGACGGACGAAAUAACAGGUGGGUUGUAAGUAGAAUUAAGGUGGUUAAAACAUCUGGCCACUGGGUAACGAAGUGAUUAGCGUGCAGCACGACGACCACGGCAAAAGAAUCGUUGUCAGCAGCUGACGUUACAGCGCAGGCAAGCAAGAGCGAGGAAUCUCGAGAUCGAGGGUUGAUAGAACUUUUGCGAGCUUUCCAUGGAUUUCUAGUGGCCACCCGUCCGAAGGUGUGUCUAUCUUCGGCCUACCGUACUACGCGCCAACUCGGCUUCGACAUCGAGAUAGAACCAGCUUAGACAGAGAAGGAGAGAAAGAGAGAGAGGCAGAGAGAGAGAGAGAGAGAGAGAGAGAGAGAGAGGACCUUUCGGAUCAAUAGGUCGUGGCUUUAUUGACUCGCGAAACCGCGUGCCAAAGAAACGCAACGUCGCGCCGCUUGCACCGUUAAUGCACGCUGCCUGCAAUUAUCUUGCACUUCGAACGAGCACCCUUGUCGCCGUUUAUUUUCUUUUAUUAACUCGUAACGAAGUUGCGAGACCAAACAUCAGAACGUCUCUUUGCAUUCUUUUUCUGGCGCUUGUGAUGAAAUUAUUCGAACAAUUACCGUCGAUUGAUAUAUUACGCGUGUCAUAUGGAACUUUUUGAAAUAUCGUUAGCACCGUAAUGAGUCUGUCGAGAUUAUGAUCAUUAUGUGUAAUUUGAAAGCAAAUUAGAGAUGUAUGUAAAAAUUAUAAAAUUUUUAUGAAAGUUUAGUGCGAACAUGCGCUUGAUAAAAAACUAGUAUAUAGUAUAAGUGAUCGCCUUAAGCGCACGAUCAGCGCGAAAGACGAUCUCAUUAAAAAUAUUGAGAUUUUGUUAACAUUGAAACGACCGUAGAUAAAAUAUGGAAAGAUAAACCUGUGUCAAAAUGGAAGAUGUAUUGGAAAAAUAAUGCAAAAGGAGAGCAACCUUUCGUCCAAAUAUAUCGUCAAAGAUCAUUCAAGUUUUUGAUAAUUUCUAUAUAAAAUAAUAUUUCUGGAUUGAAAAAUGACGAGUUGGUUAUUUUAACCACUCUGAUGGUCUUAGUACUAAUACAGCGAUUAAUUGAAUAUUUCAUCAAUUUUACGAUACGUGUGUUUGUCAAAAAUGAAUCUUGUCACUCCUAUACACAUUUUCAUAUUUCCUGUAAACUACGAAUAUGACCGUAAUAUGUAGUCGUAUCAUGUUGUAUGUCAUAGGAGAUCUUUUAUAUAUUCAGAAACGUUUCUAUGGGUGUUCAAAUACUUUCAUGAACCACUCUAUAUGCUCUUGUCACGCUAUAAAACAAGUAUGACAGAAGCGUGCAAAAUUUUUCACUUGGAAUUUUUCGUACGCAACCGAAAUACGUAAGUCACGGGUUGGAUAGCGCGCGUUCAUCAAGCGCGUUCAUCAAGCUCAAACCAUAACUGCGCUGUUAAGGGGUUAAGGUUAAGCUGAUUGCUAGGCAAUUUAUGCAAGUAGAGUAUACAACACGCGACAAUAGAGAAUUUUUCGCAGAUAAUCUUCGUACUUUAGAGCCCACGUUAUGCAUUAGCGAGGGUCUGUUUGAUAAAUCCGGUUUUGUUAAAAAUCUAUGGUUUAAUUAAAAUUUCGUAUAAGCUUUUUUACUUUUCGUUUCGUCGACCGUUCCAUCCGCUUGCCAAUAGGAGAAAACAAUGGUUGGCUGUUCGCGAAAAGAAGUACGACGGCAACAAUGGCAAUGUGUUAAAUGGAAGAAAGAUAUUCCAAUUUUUCCUCGCAUAUUGAACUUGCCCAGCUGCAAUAAACUCGCAGACUGCCGUUUCGUCCGUUUGUUUUUAUUUCCACGAACCGUCACGUGUUCUCGCCAUCCACCGUCACGCGAGAUUUUUAACAGAAAGCACUUUCACGCUCCGAGAUCGGUAUAAAUAUGCAUAAAUAUGUAUACUCGUAUUAGCCAAUCUGUGGCAACAGUAGAUAUGGAUAUCGGUAAAAUACAGGAGAAUCGAAAAAGUAGCUAGCUAAAAACAAUAACCGAAUAACGAACUUUGAUUAUUUGUUUAAAACUUGACAUUAUCUUCGAAUUCAACAGAUAGACUCAUGGAUGUACUUAACCACCGACCAUUGAUAUUUGCUCAAAUUAAAUUGAUUAUAAUUGGAGUAAUAUGACAAAAAUGAAUUGGCAUAGGUAACCGUAUUUUUUAACAAACACUGAUAUUACCAACAACACUUAUAUGUUUUUGAUAAUUGCAAACACUCGAUUGCUUUUCGAUUUUGUCAGUGUAAUGGUGCCAGUCGUGUCACGUUAUAAUGCUAACGAAAUUUCAAAAAGUAAUAUAUAUAAUACUUGUGAGUGGCUGUCGACGAAGUGGUUGAAGAUGUUACAACGAAACUACUCAUCCAACAUGCUCGUUACUCCGUAAAGUGAUUUAGUUGGAAAUAAACGUAGAAGCAUCGCGCUCACAAAGAACGUUCGCCGUCUUCCGUCGAUUUAUCCCAGUCCUGUUCAUCUUUGAUAAGCGGUUGGAACUGGCUUUCAAUGAUUCCACUAAAAGGCUGCGUAAAUUGUGCAAUUGCUCUAUUACGAGGCACUCGAACGCUGUGUGGAACCUAACGCGUACAUGCUAAAUAUUAACAGACAUUAACCGAACGGACACUGGCGAACGUGCCAGCAUCUUUCUCGAGGCACCGACCUAUAGACGAAAUAAUGAAGUUUAGCCGCGGCGAACGUUUUUGCGAUUGUGAAUUCAUAGGCGAAAGCAGACUGAAACGGUCAUAUAGCCACAGUGAUCGUAUCAUCCGCGUGUUGCUAAAUUUUGUAGAGUGGUUAAAGUAAGAUGAAUGUCGUGGGCCAACGAAUUUUUGACGAUAUGAACAACUGAGAUAACAUUGUCGAGAAAAAGGGCGCAAGAGCGCGAAUUAUCAGAAGAUAAUGAAUCUAACCUAUUUAGGGAGGAAGAAACUUCAGAAGUUUCAGCGACUAAUGCCCAGAUGCAAGAAGCUCUACGAAUUGUUCGUCGUAGCGUGCGAUAUAGAGCGACAAAGUUCGAGAAGCAUUACGACUGUGAGAAUUAUAUUCAGCAGCUAAUAAACGCAAACAAACAACAGCCGAGGCUUGAUAAGUUUUUCAAAUAAGUUUUAUAUCGUUUUCGAGAAGAAAGAAAGCUAGGAAAUGUAGCAUAAACGUGUGUUAAUUGUACAGUUUGUGAUAAAUAUAAGUCGUAAAAACGUUAUAAUCGUUUGUAAUAAAUUGAGUUCAAUGACAAAAAUUUGUUAUCCUCUGUUUAAUGUUGACAGCCGGUUAUUCUUGUCAAAAAUUGCAAGUACCAAAGUGAUCAUAAUGAGCGGGUUAUAACUACAUCUUGUACAUAACACGCGGCGGUCAACGUGUAAUCACCCAGAGGAGGUUCGCGCUAUCGAUUUAUGCUUUUGUGCGAGCAAUUAGACGCGGCAACGUAAAAGCGAACAACAGAUUUUCAAUAUUCUUUUUUCGUCAUAUAACGAAUUAUAUUAUGUAAAUGGGGCGAAACAGGCAUAGUAUCACGAACGCUGUCGUAUUCAUCGACAUCAUGUCGUUUCCAUAGUAAUAUCACCGGGAUCGUUGGCUCCUCCGUGUCGCAGCUUUCGCAACCAGGUCGCCUUUGAGGCAAAGUAUCACCUUCCCCAUGGAAAGUGCGUUCGACGAGGGUAAACUAUCUGAAAGCCUGCACUUAUAUCGAAAUCAACCGCUGACUUGAUCAGUGGGUCAAGGAGAGGAUCAUGGGUAAGUACAUUUGGAAUUCGAUUUGGAUUUACGAGCUAGCUGCCCGUUGACGAGUAGAAACGCGUGAGCAUCAUGAAGAAAAUAAUGUUUAGCGUCUCAUAACAGAAACGAGCCUUGACAAAUUAUUUAGGUAACUGAAACAAUUCCCUAAACGAAUUUUGUAACAAAACAUUCUGAGAAUUAGUUAGUCUUUAAAAAACAAAUUAAAUGAAAUUUGACUGCUAAAAAUAUUAUAUAUAAUCAUAGUCUCAUGGUCAAUCGAUUCUAAGUUAUAACUGCACCCUCAUUCGAGGUAUAUUUUCAUAAUCACAAAAAGAUAUUGAACUCUUUAUAAUAACAAACACAAAAUGUUAUUUUACGAAGAAUACCAACAAACCGACUUACGCUAUUAUAAUCCUCAACUCGUCAACGUAAUUUUCAUUAAUAGAACAGCACGAUACUGUUAGUGCUUUAUAGGCUUCCUACGUUUUCUAAUUACAGUCAACUUUUGAUUUGCCACGAGGAGCUUCCGAAAUCGAUGAGAGUUUUUACGUUUCGUUGGACAAGCGCGUGUUCGUAACCCAGUUUGUAGUGGGAAAAUGAGCCGAAGAAAUAACGGCACUGAUAAUAUUUUCAUUCGAAAAGAGUAGCUCGUAGAAUACUGCGCGCGUGCUGUUGCAUAAAUUUUACGCCGAUGAUCACGCUCCUGCGUAGCGACGACCGUUUCAACAAUUCACUUUUCCAUUGUCGAGAAAUUGUUUUUCAACGCGAGUAAAAAGACUCGCCAUUAAUGAUGGGUACAAAUAGGUCGCAAUAAGUUUAUAUCGUUUAUCAUCCUGUUAUUUCGUCGAAUCUUUUUGUUAUUUAGAUUAUUUAGAAGCUUUUAGCGUCGAUUUCAUUUCAAUCUUCUUUUUUUUUUUUUUUGUGAAACAUCAAUAGAAAGCUGAUUUUGCAAUAUUCAAGAUUUUAAAUACCUGUCGGAACAAUGAACAUUCUGUUUCAUCUAACCGAUCACGAUCGUUGUCCAUGAGAGUUCGAUUGAGUUUGAUUGGCUCGAAAUUGUUCUACGGAACGUAGCUGAUCUUCAGGAUUAAAACUUUUUCUCGAAACUUACCAAUUUUGUACGAUGAUGGAACCUGGCUCUCGCGAUCCGAUUAGUAAAGGGCUCGAUUCGUUCGAAUAUCGGACUCGAUAUAAGUAGAUGUUCAGAACAGUUCGUCAUUCUGGCUUCUUCUUUGGAAAAGCAGCUUGUGAAAAUCGAAUAUUUCGCAAGUACGAUACAUAAACUACUGUAUGUUAUGAAACGAAGCAUGGAUAUCGGAUUUGAUUCAGGAUUACGUGAAUUUACUCAACUUGAUUCUAUCGCUACUCGACGUAUUUAUCGAAACGAAAGGACACGGACUAAAAAUUACACAAAUAGCCUGUGUGUAUCGUAUGUAGAGCUUAUUACGAAACACUGUGUACAGUUUAUCGGAUAACAAGGACUCUGCGCCCGUAUUUAUCGCGAAUAGAACGGUUCAUUUGCACCCUCGUUGCACAAUCAACGGCAGGCAUGUGCAUGCAAUGAAAACGGUAGAUCGUGUUUGGAUUAUCAAAGCUCGAAAUUAAAAACACGUGGCCUUAAACGUAAGGUAAACGCGUGCGAUGUUUAGCGAGGACAAGAGACUAAAAGACUUUGUCCUACCGAUUCCUGCGAUCGCAAUUGCCAAUAGCCAGCACGUGCUAUGAUUCUAGGGUUACGAUUAACGAAGACAUCGAAGAAUGAUCGCAAGGCCGCCUGCUAUACGUAGAUUUAGAAGUGACACAAUCGGAAUUCGUACGAAGCAAUUGGAACCAAGGCCCUCUGCUUGCCCGUCGAGACGGACUCAAAUUAUUUAGAAGCGUUCGUCGGCCACCGGAUAGAAUUGAAAAGUUUGUAUUCCGUGGCACGAGCCACGAUAAUGUUCCGCGAAUGCACGAUAUUUGCAUGUAGCUCGCAAAACGCAUGCGAAAUACGAUCGAAAGGAGCAACAUGCAGGAAUAACAAGCAGAUAUACGGCACAUCGCGGAGCUUUAAAAACUGACUUCUCUUCUCGCAGUUUCUCCACUAUGGAAAUAUUAAAUUGUCCCUAUUUACUCGCAGGACUUAGUCUUUCAUUCUACGCGCAAUAUCGCACGGAAAUACGUGACAGUACUGAAACGUUUGCGUUCAUUUUUCACCGAUCCGACGUUUCCAAGCUAUGUAAUAUGUGCUUCGCUGACCGCUUGUUUGCGUUGUUCGUCAUUGCUUGGAAUACAUCAAUUUAACGCAGUGUCUUUUCAAAACAUUCGGACUCUACUCUUUACCGAGAUAAACCUUCCGAUUAUUUGGAAUUUCGGCAAUGGUCGAUAUCUUUGUUAAGCGUUUCUGUAGGUAUAUCGAAUCUCGUGAAAUCGAAGAGCUAUUUGACAUCAAAUAGUUUAAUGGUUACUUGUAAAAAUAAAUUUUCUGAAUAAUACAAUAAUUAAUAUUUGAAUAUUAAUACUCGUACUUGUGUAGAUUAAUUCAAACGUAACGUACAUACAGUACAUACCCUUAUUUUCUACGUUUCAUCAUCAUAAUGUCGAAUUUUUGUAAUCUUACGAAAAUACUAUUGAACGAUACAGAAUUCAAUAUAUCUUAAUCUAUUUAAUUAGUAUGUAAUUACUACAACGAAUACAAUAGCAUGCCAAUAUCUUUUUAUAGUCACUGUAUGCCUAUGCUAUUCCCCUUGCGAUAUAUCUUUUCCUGGCUCAGAUUAGCUUAGAGAAGUUGAUGCACGAAAUACGAAUAUCUUUUCAUUCAUCGGUUCUCUUCUCUCGCGGCUUAAGGAUCAUCGAUCUAUUUCGAAGCGAACGAACGAAACACGAGAGAGAAAGAGAGAGAGAGAGGGAUCGUGCAAAUGCAAGGUGUAUUGUCACGAUUUCUGGGAGAAAAGGAACGGAAAGUAGAAUGCAGAAAGGAAAAGGAGUGUGAGAGAAAAGAGGAAAGAGAAACGAGGUAUUAGGCGUAAAAGCCUUCAUUUGUAGACUGCGACGAGAAUGUGGGCAACGACGUUCUUUUCCCUUUUUUCGCCAUACUUGAGUACAACAGCUGCACCUAAACGCAACGCGCAUCUGUAUCGGUGCAAGCUCGGGUUUUCAUCGGGUUCCUACGGAACAUCGCUUUGUCUUUGGCUUUUGUACGAUUUCGGUGUUCAACAUGCCUUGUUUAUGAUCCCAGCAUUUCGUUGGACGAAGAAGCAUCACGAAUAGCACCGUCGUGUAUCCUACAUCGAAUAUAUUAUCCACGAAUCUCUCGGUUUCUCCUCCAAUUUUCUAAGUAACUUUGUUUGUCUUUCGUAAAAUGCAGCCUGCGCCAUUAUGUUUCCCAAAUUUCUCUGUAGAUCUCUCUCUCUCUCUCUCUCUCUCUCUCUGUCUUUCAUGCUCGUCCCAAAUCGACUGAAUGUUAAUCUUCUUCGGAAGGAAAAAGGAAAAUAUUUUCUGGCCGAAGGUUCUUUUCUGACGGACAGUUGUAAUAUGUUUCUUCUGCAAAAUAUCUUUAAAUGUUACUUAUAGCGACUCGCGAAGGUAUUCGAGCAGUUUCAUGAAUAUAUUACAUGCGUUAUAUGAAACUUUUUAAAAUUUCAUUAACAUCGCAAUACGGGCUGCGGACAUAUUUAGUAGAAUAUUAAUAGCAUCAAUUGUUAUUUUAAAUAUAAUAUAAUCAGUGGUGAAAAUGAUUUCAUCUGGAUAUUAUGCGCGCUUUAUGCAUUUUCGCAUCGUUAAAUUUUCCAUAAAUACAUAGAAGUUCACAGCGGGAAACUGCAGGCCUCAGGCAAUAUGGAUAAAUACAGCUUAGGUAUAAUUGUAUCAUUUAAUGACACUAAUAGAGGGAAAAACGAACAUUAUGAGCGUUCAGUAAAAAAAUUAUUUGUUAGUAUCACACAUUAGAUUAAAAAUUUCUUUUAUGACACGACAGAAAUUAUGUUUUGUUUCGCUUAGAUUUUAUAUAUUAGUUAUAUGUAUACUACUUAGGCUUUACUUGGCUGUCCAAUAAAUUCCAUUUAUUUCUCUGUUAUUUAGAAACCUGUAGUUUUGUAACGAACUGUUUCGUAAGAUAAAAUUCCAAUUAUCUGCACUUUCUUACGUACACAUUUUGGCCAAAGCUAAUAAUUUAGCCUCGACUCACCUGAUAUUUUCGUAUUGGCAAUAAAACAACGUUAAAAGAACUGCAAUGUAGCAAUGGAAAGAAAUAGAAAAUUGAAAGGAAAAACAAAGUUCAUUGCUAUUCAUGACCGCGUGUUUCGUAAAUUCGACUGCUCUUGUAAAUUUCGGUAAAUCGACGAAACGACUUUGACCGUACCAGAAGCUAACCACGUUCAUUGUCCUAAUCAAUCUUUUUUCCUUCGUUAAAUCUAUUCUCUUGAUGCUAUGUUCCAAGUAGACACUGAGACUUGGUCAUUGCAGAGGAAAGAAGCUCGCUGAUGAUUCUUGCGUGGCACGAAUCGUAACAAGAUUCGAGGUUCGGUUACGUUCUUCGAUAUAGAGAUUCCGUCCUUAAACCUGUUUUCGGUCAUCUUCGAGCCAAUUCUAAUUUUCUAACUUUAAAAACAUCUAAAAUUUGAACAAGAUAUGAAAAUAUUCUUAUCGGCAUGCGCGUGAUUACUCGUUCUAGUUUUAUGUUAAGCGUCUUCUCAAAACAGCAUAGAUGAUUUUUGUUUGCUAAAAUGAGAGCAAGUUCGAGGAUCGCAACAGGCUCGAAGGAUGAUCAGUAAAGUAGAAAAAAGAAGCAUCAGCGUAUCCCUUACAGGGACUUUCUACCUUGAUACAGUAUCCGAUGAAACCACGACAAAUUCUAUUAUCGAAAGAUUUUCGCAUUAGCGAUAGUAUCUUCGAUAUACCUUUUACGAAAGACAACCCAGAAUUUAUUUCCUCUCUCUCGUUCCGUCUCUGGUGGAAAUAGAUCGAAGGGUUGGCGCCGUCGACCGGUGCCUCGUCACAGAGAAAAAUAUCGUGAAAAUUUCGCGCGCCUCCGAGUUCCAACGAUCCGUAAAUUCGUUUCAUUGUGAUGGUCCUUAUCGUGAAAAUUAUGCCGGUGGCGCACGUAUUGUUCAGCCUCUCGGUCUCUGCUUUAUAUUCUUCGUUUUCGCCGUGAUAAUUACUAUCCUGCUAUGGCGAUCUAGGAACUUUGCGACGCGAUGAAAUUUCAGUUGUCCAUUUUCUUCAUUGUAUCGAAAAUAAUUAUUCGGACUCGAGAAACGAACAAUACUUCACGUAUUGAAUUCGAAUAGCUUGACCAAUCUGAACGAAGCUUUACGGAGUGAGAUAACCACGCGAAAGAGUAAAGACGUACAAAACAACCAGGAUAGAGCACGCUCUAUAACAAACGCUAAAAACGAUUUCCUAUCCAAAUUUUAUAUCUUCAAUUGCAUUACCGAGAAUCACCAAACACGCGAUACGCGUUUUCGUAAAGGAACGAUAGCUGAACUGAAUAAAAAGCGUGGCUGACAAUAACACGGUGAAUCCUUCGAACGAACAACAGAGAAUCGCCGUUCGGAAGCCCAGUUCCUAAAGUCGUAUCUAUCGCAUUUUGCAAAUGACGUCCCCGAGCUUUUCCUUCGGAUCUUAAUAAAACCAUGAAUUUGCAUAAAUAUCCGCGUUCUAAUCGCAACAUUUAUUCUUUGUAGUAUCUCUCGUGGCAGCAUAGUUGUCUCGUAUCAUGGAAAGAAAGUUCAGCUUGUACGUAUCAAGAAGGCGAGUUUACAUAAAUGAAAAGAAGUUUCCCUGAAGUACACUCUCCCUCCAUAUUAGGUAGUACGUCAGGUUUCUCUAGCUUCUGGCGAUGAAACGAGGAACGCGAAAUUUUUCAUACAAACGUUCGUGAAAAAUUCGAUCGAACGUGUAAAUGUCACGAAUGAUAGCAUCGGCUGCGAGAGCAGAUAAGCCGGGUAGCAGACUCGUGAACGUGUCUCGUACCGUUUUGCAUCGGAACGUGAGUAAGGACACAACGAUUUGCGUGGCGCUUAUCGGUAAACGGGGGUUGUUUAUCGCCACUUGGUAUCUACGUGUGUACGCAGACGUCACGUAGCUAUGUGAAUGUCAGCUAAGAGACGCGUUAGAGUGAAACGUACUCGAGGACCAUCCGAGAUGUUGCCCGAAAAUAGAGAACGCCCGGUUAUUUCGAGCUGUGUUGUUUCAAGGUGAAAGGCCGGCUUCGUGAGUAUUCCUUGCGCUCUCUUUCCUGGAGCACAUGCACUCCGGUUCGCCUUGCCCUCGCCCUCAACUCUCUCAGUCAUUUGUCAACGAAAGAAUGAACGAGAAGAGAUACGCGUCUGGAGGAAGAGCGCUUAUAGAAAAUUCGAUUAAACGUCACGAUGGUUUCUGUAUCGACAAACGCUCUACUUUCACUCGCAACUUGCCUCGCGUCUUUCGAGAUGUUUUCCAGACUUUCAAUCGCGUUACUAAAUCCUCCGGUAUCAUUAAAAUGAGAUAAACUUCAUCGACUAUCAACGUAAGAAUGAUUUACUUAAUGGCUGCUGAGAGGAUUUCUACUUAAUCUUAUCGUCUAACGGGGCGUAUUUUUAAUCAGAUUCUACGUCUCAUUUCCAUGGUUGUAUUAGGUUGUCCGAAAUGUUUCGUUCGUUUUCUAAGGAAAUAAUAGACGCACAAUGUUUUUUGUUUUAUAUUAGUUUAUUGAAUUAAGAUAGUAUAAAAUAAUAUAAAACAGAAAUUGUUGCUCAUCUGUUACCACCUUAUGAAACGGAAGAAACAUUUCGGACAACCUAAUAUAUCUCGUUUCCAACUAUCUGAAUAUACAUGUAUUUGUAUAUACUUGAAUUUAAUUAAUCAAAUGCUACGAUAAAUGCAACAAGUAUUUUUCGUAGCCAUUGUAGAUAAUAUUGUCAGACGAAGGUGUGCAAAUAUGACCAUAAUAUUUUGUACAAAUGAAAUAUCACGAUGCAAUAUAUUUGAAUCUACCGCGGCAACCAGAGCCAAAUAUAUCAAAUUCGCGUGGCAGUUAACGCGUUAAGGAUCAACGUUGCAUCGAUGCAACGUUUCAUUUAGCAUUUCUCCUCGAUUACUUUACAUUAUCCAUACGAGCAGAUUGCAAAGCCAAUUAGCGUAAUUGCAAUUUUUACCAUCGCGUUACUGUUUGAACCGAUGCGUUCAUUGUUUCGUUCAACCUUUUUUCCCCGUGUUUGCGAUCGCGACUCCCCUGUAUUGUCCUGUAACGAGAGCUAAUUUCGCUGAGAGAGAUCGAUAGGCCGAUUAGAACGAUCGCUGAUUGGAAUAAACCGGUAUUUCCCAUCCCACAGGGAGGCGAAAGUCAACGUCGUGUAGAGAUGCGAUAAAUUGCCACUACAUGUAAAUUAACGUCGUUGUUGAUAAUGGAGAAACGACGUGGAAUAAGAAGGAACGACGGAGAAUAAAAAAAGGAUUACGAACAAAGGUUCUCGGCUACGAAGGACGCGAUACUUUACCCAAGGGAAGGGACGCCGUCGUCCGUAAUCCGUUAACGUCGCGUCGUCGCGUCGUCCAGUAACAUUCUAUGAAUUUAUGAAAGUUCGAAUGCACAGAGUUCACGGAAAUUCGAUUAUAUCCGCGUAAACUCUACAGAGAUGAACUUUCAUCCAGUACAUCCACAUUAUCUCGAGUAGUUUGAUCAUUACGUUACCUGAGACCUUUCGCACAACUGAAUUAAUCUUAUUAACGAAACUUUACGAAUCCGUGCCAGUCCACCAGAUUACACCUUCAGACUGAAGGAAAUAGAAAUUUUCGUCGGCAUCUUUCUUUUCGUCCCACCUUUGUUUCCCUUCGUUCGAUUUAAAAUACGUAUCGAGUCAUUAUAACAGCUUGUAGAAGAUAACUUGCAAGGUACAAAAUAUAGGGAACUUCAAAUAGAUCAAUACACGUACCUAUAUGUACGUAUCGCAAUGCACAGAAUGCAUGUAACCUGCAAAAAUAUGUAUAACAUCCAAAGUAGAAUCCUCGUUACGUCUACUAUUUAACGGAUGAAACAGACUUCUGUGUAGGUAUCAUUUCUUUAAUCGUAUUCAUAAAAAUAUGAAUUUGCACAGAUAUCCGUAGUCUGAUUAUUACGACAUCCUACAGAUUCAUUAACACUAUAACUACCGAUAGUUAACAGGAAGCUAUUUUUACAAAAACCAGUCAAAAUGACGGGUCUUUUAAAAAAAUACCUAAUAAUAGAAUAUUUUUAUAUUUAUUGAAUUAUUACUUUCUUACAGAAGGAAUUCCAUGUUAUGUAAUAUAUUUUUGAUAUUAUUAAUCCAUCUGGGACCAUGAUCCCUAAACGAGGAUUGACAAAUUUAUAAAAUUGUAGAUGUGUUAGCAUCUAGCGAUCUAGCGAUCGAUCCGGAAUUUCCUUUUACACUUUGACAAGUAUCAAUUAUUUUGACUGGUAUUGGUAUAAGUAGUCUUGAUACAAAGUUAUUUUCACUUUGAAUACAUAAAAAACAAAGUAAAAUUCGUUAUAUUAUUCUUUUAGUUAUCGUUGCUAGUUAGUCAUUACAUCAUUGCAGGGGAAAAAUAUAACACGAAGUAGGAAUUUUAAAAUAAAAUUGUAAAACCAGUGGUAGUUCUAGUGUUAAUUGUAUACAAGGGUACGUCAGAAAUGUAUGGCUCUAAUACUCAAUAAGUUUCCUGCUAGCAAUACGUCUCAGGAACAAAGGAAUAAGUAACUUAACGGGAUUAAAAGACACAAUGGGAGUAAAGUACACGUGGAAGCACACUUCCGUGCGGAACAUUUGUACGAGAAACCGGCGCCUGUGUCGCGAGCAGACGUUGAAGAGGCUCGUGUUAACGUUUACAGGAAGUGUCUUCCGUUUCCCAACUAUCUACGUAUCGACCCGUUUAUCGUCGACCGAAUGGAGAAUCGUUCGAAGGAAUUCUGAAUCGCAGGAAGGUGGACAACGAGCCGUGAAACCGCGGUACAAUUAGCGAACUAUUCGAUUACCGAGAACUGUAGGCGUUCUAUCGAGAAACGAUACGCGUUCCAAGAGACUUUCGUCGGUUCAACCAAAAUUCCAGCUUCCUUUCGAUCGACAGCGUCGCUAUUUUCUCGCUGUGUCACAGGGACAACGAACCGCACGAUGAGACGAUUGUUCUCCCUGGUAGCCCGCGAAACAAUCGGCGCAAUUCCUCUAAAAAAAGGUUUCUUCGGAUAAAAUCUUUCGAGUUGGACAACGUUCCGUCGCGACUGUUCCAUAGCGCCAGACGAAGCUCGUCGGGUUUAUGCAUAAAAUUUGGAGCAAAUCGUGGUAUAUUGGAAAAAAUACAGCUCGAAGAAAAAGUUUCUGCCGACAAGUUGGCCGACAGCCAUUCCCAUUUUGCUAUAACGAGGCAAUGUGUUAAGAAAGUGCAGAAGUGUAAAUUGGUGAUGUAAAAUUCAAAUGGAUAUCGUGUCGAAGUAGCGACGUGUUAAUGAAAGACGUGUUUAGGAGGACAGGGCCGUAUCUCUGAGCUCGUGAAAGAAUGGAAUUUUUUCAGCAAUUUAUUACGGAGCAACUAUCGGAUGAUUCCUUUUUUAUCGCAACAGGGAUAUGUCGUAUAUUAUCUAAAAAAAAAAAAAAAAAAAAAAGUGG